rnacentral:rRNA from 1 species
CCUACGGGUGGCAGCAGUGAGGAAUAUUGGUCAAUGGGCGGAAGCCUGAACCAGCCAAGUAGCGUGAAGGAAGACGGUACUUAGUAUUGUAAACUUCUUUUGUCGGGGAACAAAGUCGGAGACGCGUGUCCGGAUGAGUGUACCCGAUGAAAAAGCAUCGGCUAACUCCGUGCCAGCAGCCGCGGUAAUACGGAGGAUGCGAGCGUUAUCCGGAUUUAUUGGGUUUAAAGGGAGCGGAGGCGGGAUGUUAAGUCAGCGGUAAAAUGUCGUGGCUCAACCCUCGCCGGGCGGUGGAAACUGGUUUGCUAGAGUGGGAGAGACGUAUGCGGAAUUCGUGGUGUAGCGGUGAAAUGCAUAGAUAUCACGAAGAACUCCGAUUGCGAAGGCAGCAUACGGGAUCCAUACUGACGCUGAGGCACGAAAGCGUGGGGAUCGAACAGGAUUAGAUACCCUGGUAGUC